rnacentral:lncRNA from 1 species
AAAAUAAAAUUAAAAAAAAAAACCGCCCCUCAUACACAGUCAUGAGAUGAAUAGUGUAUAUAUGUAUGCCAAAGUUAACCGAAACGUUUAUGAUUAGACUUGAGUAGAUGGUUCUGAAACUUUUAAUCUUUUAAACUACAUAUUGUUUUUUUUUUGUUUGUUACUGGUUUCAGAAGUUUGCGCCACCACAAGUUUAGGUCUAUUCCUCCGCCACUUUAAUAAUAUAUUUGUCCUUUUUAUCAAGAACAAGAAAAAAUAAAAGAUAAGGUCUUAUUUGGAUGACUGUUCAGUACGUUGGGGAUAUCAUUUUGUUUGAAAAUAUUUCUGGUAUAUUUAGUUAAUUAAAUAGUCAAUAUGUGUUGAUUCUAGUAUGUCGAACACACAAUAAAAAAACACCCACAAAAAUCAGUGCAAUUAACAAGAAAAACAAAUAUAGAAUUUUUGAGAAAAGGGG